GAAGGUUUGAGUUCAUUGUUCUAAAAUCAAAAUAAGAUGAAGACUAUCAUUUCAGUUUUGAUCGUUUUGCUUGUUCUUUCUAUUGGGAUUGAAAAUGAAGGGCCAGUGAAAGUCAUAGAGGCAAGAAGUUGUGAAGAAAAAUUAUACGAGAAUGAUUGUCAAGAAAACAAGUGUAAUGCAGAUUGUCAUAGGAAACAUGGAAACUUAGCAAGUGGUAUGUGCAAUGCUAUAGAAGAUUGCAUAUGUAAUUUUCCAUGUUAAAUGUUUGAACUUCUUCUCCGGUGUCGUUCCUAUGAAUGUUAGUUUAUGUAAUAGGCGAUGCUGAAUUGAAAUAAAAUAAAUUUACUAUUUGGGAUUAUAUAUUUA